GCCAGGUGUGGUGGUGCACACCUGUAGUCCUAGCUACUCAGGAGGCUGAGGUGGGAGCAUUGCUUGAGUCCAGGAGUUCUGGGCUGCAGUGUGCUGUGUGAAUUGGGUGUCCACACUAACUUUGGCAUCAAUACGGUGACCUCCUGGGAGGAGGGGACCACCAGUUUGCCUAAGGAGGGGUGAACAGGCCCAGGUUGGAUAGGGAGCAAGUCAAGACCUUGUCUCAAAAAUAAAAUAAAAUAAAAUAAAAAGCUUGGGGAUGUAAUUUAGUGUGAUGAUCUCUGGGUUAAAUUCCUAGUAC
rnacentral:SRP_RNA from 1 species